rnacentral:rRNA from 1 species
AUUGAACGCUGGCGGCAUGCCUUACACAUGCAAGUCGAACGGUAACAGGUCUUCGGAUGCUGACGAGUGGCGAACGGGUGAGUAAUACAUCGGAACGUGCCUAGUAGUGGGGGAUAACUACUCGAAAGAGUGGCUAAUACCGCAUGAGAUCUACGGAUGAAAGCAGGGGAUCGCAAGACCUUGUGCUACUAGAGCGGCCGAUGGCAGAUUAGGUAGUUGGUGGGAUAAAAGCUUACCAAGCCGACGAUCUGUAGCUGGUCUGAGAGGACGAUCAGCCACACUGGGACUGAGACACGGCCCAGACUCCUACGGGAGGCAGCAGUGGGGUAUUUUGGACAAUGGGCGCAAGCCUGAUCCAGCAAUGCCGCGUGCAGGAUGAAGGCCUUCGGGUCGUAAACUGCUUUUGUACGGAACGAAAAGCCCUGGGUUAAUACCCUGGGGUCAUGACGGUACCGUAAGAAUAAGCACCGGCUAACUACGUGCCAGCAGCCGCCGUAAUAC